UAACUGUCAGGCCACAUUAAGCCACAGUACGGAAAAAGCUGUGCUGCCUGUGAGCCCCGUCCAAGGACGUUAAAAGAAGAAGUCAGGCCCCAAAGCCACGGUUUGAGCAAACCGUGCUGCCUGUAGC
rnacentral:lncRNA from 1 species